GACGAACGCUGGCGGCGUGCUUAACACAUGCAAGUCGAACGGAAAGGCCCUGCUUGCAGGGUACUCGAGUGGCGAACGGGUGAGUAACACGUGGGUGAUCUGCCCUGCACUUCGGGAUAAGCCUGGGAAACUGGGUCUAUUACCGGAUAGGAGCCAUUUUUAGUGUGAGGGUUGGAAAGUUUUUUCGGUGUAGGAUGAGCUGGCGGCCUAUCAGCUUGUUGGUGGGGUAAUGGCCUACCAAGGCGGCGACGGGUAGCCGGCCUGAGAGGGUGGACGGCGACAUUGGGACUGAGAUGCGGCCCAGGUUGCGACUGUAGGACGCAGGGCGGAAGAUUGAACAAGGCGCGCAAGCCUGAUGCAGCGGCGCCGCGGGGGGUAUGACGGCCUUCGGGUUGUAGACGCCUUUCGCGAUGGACGAAGCUUUUUGUGACGGUACCUAGAUAAGAAGCACCGGCUAACUACGUG
rnacentral:rRNA from 1 species